rnacentral:rRNA from 1 species
UACGUAGGGAGCAAGCGUUGUCCGGAAUUACUGGGCGUAAAGGGUGCGUAGGCGGUUUGUCAAGUCGAAUGUGAAAUACCGGGGCUUAACCUCGGGGCUGCAUUCGAAACUGGCAGACUUGAGUGCAGGAGAGGAAAGCGGAAUUCCUAGUGUAGCGGUGAAAUGCGUAGAUAUUAGGAGGAACACCGGUGGCGAAGGCGGCUUUCUGGACUGUAACUGACGCUGAGGCACGAAAGCGUGGGGAGCAAACAGG